GGAUGGAUUGGAAGGGAGUAUACAGUAGGCUGUGAGGGAGUUGGGGGAGGAUGGAUUGAAAGGGAGUAUGCAGUAGGCUGUGUAGGAGAUGGGGAGGAUGGAUUGGAAGGGAGUAUACAGCAGGCUGUGUAGGAGAUGGGGAGGAUGGAUUGGAAGGGAGUAUACAGCAGGCUGUGUAGGAGAUGGGGAGGAUGGAUUGGAAGGGAGUAUACAGUCGGCUGAGGGAGUUGGGGGAGGAUGGAUUGGAAGGGAGUAUACAGUAGGCUGUGUAGGAGUUGGGGGAGCAUGGAUUGGAAGGGAGUAUACAGUAGGCUGUGAGGGGGUUGUGUGGCACCCCUUGAGGAAACGUCAGACUAAGAUGGAAACAUAACACCAAACCUCACAUGAGGAGUUUCCAUAACGUUUCUCACCUUGCCAAAAAAUGCUUUACGUAUACUGUCUAGAAAUAGGAAUUUUAAAACAGCCUUUGUUAAUGAAAUUCAGUGAGAUCUCUAAAUGUCAUGUGUCUGUGUCAAUGUAGCGUUAAUAACUCUGUGGAAAGGAAUCUCCAAUAUCCGGUUAUAUUUGCAACCUUGUUGUCAGAGCGCAGAGGUAACUGCCCCGUCAUAUACGGAGUAGACACUGUGCAAAGUGUGUUCUUCCAUAAGAUCAAGACGGUAUCUUUCCACAUAAGCUUCCCUCUCUGUAAGGACCUUCUCCAAAAUAGCUGAGCCUUCUGUAAAACUGCUUGUGAAAAAAGAAUUGCAGGACGUCUCAAUUACCUGGUCCAUGCCCACUAAAUGCCAGUCAAGCAGUACCUUUCCUCAACAGUGACAGAAGCAGCAAUACCUCCCACACAUCUCCAAAAUGCCCCCUAGGCUUCCCAAGCAAUCACCUUUAGAUCCUAUCGUCACUCUGGGUGGCACAAGGUCCCAGGCCAACUUGUAGUGGAGGAAUAGGGUAUAAUUUCCCCUUGAAAUCAGCUCAAAAUGUUCUCUUGGUGCUUCUUUAUGGACUGUUUCUAGUACGUGGCUUUUCACGAUGACUGGUUCUUUCACUGUCCUUGAUUCCUGAAUUUCCUGAAUCUCCUGGAGCCUGGCAUUUGUUCUUGAUUGACAUUCGGAUGGUUCUGAACCCUCCCUGUAUCCUGGACACCAGUUUUGUUUAGGUUGGUACUCUGGUUCUCUGCAUGCCCAUUCUUGCUAAGCCGGUCAUGAUUUCCAGCUAGUUUCAGCAGCUCCCCUGUUCCCACGGCCAUUUUCACAUGAUAUCUCCCAAAGGCUUUUAAAAUGAAAACCUUUUACACUGGCUACGUUGGGUUCAUAUUAAAGCAAUCCUUUCCCUUACUCAAGGAAGUAAUAAUUAUAUAGGCCAAAUUAAUAAACCCUCUUGUGCAAGUUUUAUAUAUGCCAACAACUAUAAAAACACUUUUUACAAAACUGACAUUAACUAGUACAAUCAUUAUAAUGUAGCUAACAUUAAUUCAUCGUAUCUAAAACCCUUAAGCAUCUUCCAUAACCUGUUUUUUCGACUCCACUUCUUCCUGCAUUCCCAGAGCUGGAUCUUCAGCUGCCACGCUUCUUCCUCGUGUACAACAGUAGUUCUUAAUCUGUUUUGAGUCUGGACCCCUUGGAGGAGCUGAAGAACUCUACACAGAUCCUUUCC
rnacentral:lncRNA from 1 species